GGCUCGGGGGAGCACAGCCCUGGCUGGAGCCCCGAAGCUGCCAUGUGCUGCCCGAGCUUGCUGAUGCUCAGACAAGCUCCCGCCAAGACACCUGCGCUGCUCGGGAGAGCGAGGGGUGCAUCCUUGGCGACCACGGGGCUGGCUUCCCCGCGCAGCAGCACAUCUACCGGACGCUCCUUCGCAGGGCUCUGCUCACAGCUCCCACCUCCCUUGCUGAAAGCAAUUGAGUUCAAACAUGAGACGUGUGACUGCAAUUUACCCUUGAAGCCACUGAGGGGGCAUAGGAACGCCUUGCCUCUGGCACUAUUUUUGGCCAGUUUAGACAGACGCUGUCACUGAAGUAGGAUAACUGUUGUUACUUUCUUAUAAACUCAGAGCAAUGGUCCCGGCUGAGGGUCACAGCUGCUGGAUACACUAAUCUCUUUGGGGCUGUAACAUGAAUUUCUGCCCUGAGCAUUGCUCAGACGCGGAGGCGCAGGGAGGGACACGUGCUGCAGCAGCAUCUGCAGCUGCUCGGAAGGGUCCUCCCGCCUGCCGGGACCUGCUGUCUCAGUGACACACCUGCAUUUCUCCGCCCCGCGCAUCGCCCAGGCCCCAGAAGCAGCUCAGGCAGCGUCCGCGGGGCGCAGAGCAGAUACCGCUGCAGCCCGGCUGGGUCCGGGUCCAACAAGGGCUGGGCGCUCACCGCCCACCGUGGCUCGCUUCGUCCUGCCGUCAUUAAUCCGGACAGUUAAAUAUCAGGCUGUUGCUCUCCAGCUUGUCUCCUCCUUCCCUGCUCCAAGCGCCCUGCGGUCCUGCCCGUGGGAACUAAGAGCAUCCCUGCACGUGAACGAACGUGUUCCUGCAUCCACUCCAGAGGCUUUUGCCCCCUUCUUUUGCAUAUCAUGUAAUUCUGGAAAACUUCCUGUAUCCGCAGCCCUGAGCAGGUCUCAGCGUUGGUGAGAGCACAAAUGCAGUUUUACUGGGGCUUGUCUGGAGCUGGAAACCUUGAGAAAGCCUUUUGCUGCGCAGACGUUUCCCGUCCAGGCACUCGUCCAGACUGCGGUCUCUCCGAUGGACCAACCUUCAGACACUUUGGCUUGCGUCAGGAACUGUCUUAACGACUCCCAACAUGCCUAUCACACAAAUCCCAUCUACAGUGUUGUGUGUCGGGCUCCUGGUUCUGUCCGUAACGCAUACGGCUUGUGAUUUGGGUGCCUGCCUGCCUCCCCAUCGUGCACUGGUUUUGUCUCAGAGUGGGAGCAGAAAGUUUGUUUUCUCCUGGAAUCUGCAGGUGGAAGGACCGUGGGACUGAUCUGGUCCAGUGGCUUCGAGCCCCAGUCAAUCUGCAGGCGGGACAUGGCUUCGGAGGUCCUGGAGGUGUAAGCAGCUGAAGGCAUCAGGAUUUUUUCUUCUUAUUAUUAUUUUUAACAACAAAUGAAAUGGGGGCAUCUGUGGAAGUCACAGCAGGUCUCUGUCAGGGCCUGAGCUGUGGCCUGGCACUUCCCCGGGUGGGGACACCAGAGCCGCGAGUGCAGCGACCGCUGCCACAGCACCAGGCGGGUGGAAACCAGGGAGAGCGCCACGAAAAAUACGGGAAAUCACAUUAUUUCAAAGAUGUUUUAAAGAAACACCAUUUUCUUUAAUGGUGAAUAUUUUGAGAAGUGUGCUUUCCAUAACACCAUUACAUAUGCAAUUUUAAACUCUAAGGCAUUAUUUAAGAUGGUACUUAUUAACGGUUUUUACACACUAAGAUACAUUAUUGGACUUGGGCAUGAUUCAUAGACACUUCACAUGUACAGUUAUGUAAUUUUAACUUGAAAUUUAUCUGUUACAUGAUCAAUAAUUAACUGAUUUCUGCAGCUGACCUAAAGAAAAAAUAUUUUUUCUACAGCUGCAUUUGAGGCAAGAUUAGACAAAAUAUAUUAAAUAAAAUUCAGAAAUUGAGAAAAUGUGGAUUCUAAGAUCUAAUGGGAUCUAAUGUUUUAAUAAAAAUCUCCCCAACCAUGUGCUGA